rnacentral:rRNA from 1 species
UACGAAGGGGGCUAGCGUUGCUCGGAAUUACUGGGCGUAAAGCGCACGUAGGCGGCUCUUUAAGUCGGAGGUGAAAUCCUGGAGCUCAACUCCAGAACUGCCUUCGAUACUGUAGAGCUUGAGUUCGGGAGAGGUGAGUGGAACUGCGAGUGUAGAGGUGAAAUUCGUAGAUAUUCGCAAGAACACCAGUGGCGAAGGCGGCUCACUGGCCCGGUACUGACGCUGAGGCGCGAAAGCGUGGGGAGCAACAGG